GACGAACGCUGGCGGCGUGCUUAACACAUGCAAGUCGAACGGAAAGGCCCUGCUUUUGUGGGGUGCUCGAGUGGCGAACGGGUGAGUAACAAGUGAGUAACCUGCCCUUGACUUUGGGAUAACUUCAGGAAACUGGGGCUAAUACCGGAUAGGAGCUCCUGCUGCAUGGUGGGGGUUGGAAAGUUUCGGCGGUUGGGGAUGGACUCGCGGCUUAUCAGCUUGUUGGUGGGGUAGUGGCUUACCAAGGCUUUGACGGGUAGCCGGCCUGAGAGGGUGACCGGCCACAUUGGGACUGAGAUACGGCCCAGACUCCUACGGGAGGAAGAAGUGGGGAAUAUUGCACAAUGGGCGGAAGCCUGAUGAAGCAACGCCGCGGGCGGGAUGACGGCCUUCGGGUUGUAAACCGCUUUCGCAUGUGACGAAGCGUGAGUGACGGUAAUGGGUAAAGAAGCACCGGCUAACUACGUG
rnacentral:rRNA from 1 species